ACGUCCCAGUUCGGACUGUAGUCUGCAACCCGACUACACGAAGCUGGAAUCGCUAGUAAUCGCGGAUCAGAAUGCCGCGGUGAAUACGUUCCCGGGUCUUGUACACACCGCCCGUCACACCAUGGGAGUCAGUAACGCCCGAAGUCAGUGACCUAACCGAAAGGGGGGANCUGCCGAAGGCGGGACGGAUGACUGGGGUGAAGUCGUAACAAGGUACC
rnacentral:rRNA from 1 species